rnacentral:rRNA from 1 species
UACGUAGGGUGCGAGCGUUGUCCGGAAUUAUUGGGCGUAAAGAGCUCGUAGGCGGUCUGUCGCGUCGGUCGUGAAAACUUGGGGCUUAACCCUGAGCUUGCGGUCGAUACGGGCAUGACUGGAGUUCGGCAGGGGAGACUGGAAUUCCUGGUGUAGCGGUGAAAUGCGUAGAUAUCGGGAAGAACACCAGUGGCGAAGGCGCUCUACUGGGCCACAACUGACGCUGAGGGACGAAAGCUAGGGGAGCGAAAGGG